CCGUAUGUCCCCCUCACACCCCCCGUGACUGGGAGCCCUGGAGUCUGGCCUUGGCAUCUCACGCGCCUGGUAGUCUCCGCGGAGAGGAAUCUUAUUUCUAGAGGGGACCUCAGCAGUCUUGUCAGCCCCAACAGAUUUCUGAGAGCAUUCUCUGUUCACAGUAUUCUCCCAGUUUGGCCUUCUGUAUUCGGUCCGCGUCUUCCCAAACGCUGCAGUUGCCCGUCCUGGUUUCUAUGCCAUCAUCAAGUUUUAUUCAGCAAGGGAUGCUCACAGAGCUCAAACGGCAUGCCACGAGAAGCAUCUUUUUCAGAAUUCUCCAGUGAAGAAAGUGGUAAAAUAGCUGUGGAAUAUAGACCCUGUGAAGAGAUUACAGAUGCCAGAACCGAAGAGGAGCUACAGGAUUUAAUUCAAGUAUGUGGAGAUUAGAGCUCGAGGGUUCCACAGCCAGUGUAGCCAUAAUUUAAAGCAACCGGCAGGAUUUGGAAGACUUUGGCACGUACAGUUCGCUCUAUCAUCCUUUGGGAAAUGUAAAACUCUGAAACUGCUUUUGAGUGCAGAGAGUUUCUGGGGCUUUUCCUGAAGUCCUGGCCCUUGGCUCUGACCCCUUAUUUAAAAUUUGGAGAGCAAAUUGCAUCAGAACACUCCCACUGUUGUGGACAUAGGAGAGGACACAGCCUUUUAGAGCUCCCCUCAAACAGAAUCUCAGGGAUUUGGGAACAGAGUAACUCUGACCUUAAGUGAGAUUAUGCUACAGUGUUUGAAAACCAUUAGGCCUUUCAAAUAAGGUGUAUUACCCAGAUGUCAGCAUCUCAUACAUAUCUUGUAUGAAAUAUUUUACUGAAGAACUUUUCUGUAAAUCACUUCUAUCAAUGCCCUGAAUUAGGGAUUAAGUUGCCAAAGUAAUUUCUAAAAGAAGAUAUUAACGUACUGCAUAUAGAAUGUUUAAAAAAAAAAGAGGAGAAAAGAAUGUGUUUCGUGUCAUUGAAAACUGAAUUUGGGGCUGGAUUUCUGAUGAUUUAACUCACUCCAAAGUUGCAAAGUUUGUUUGUUUUGAAGGGAAGAGUGGAGAAAGGAAAGAUGGUUACUUUCUGAAAAAGUAUUUGAAGGUUUUUUUUGUGCAAAAUAGUUAUUUUAAUUCAAUUUAAAUCAAGCCAGUCAAGGGAACUUCAGACUUACCCAAGUUUACACUUUAAGAAGUCUAGCUUUCUGUGAAAUGUGAGAGAAAGAGAUUC